CCCGUCGCUACUACCGAUUGAAUGGUUUAGUGAGGUCCUCCGAUUGGACCCGGUCCGGGCGGCGACGUCCGAGCCGGCGUCCGAGAAGACGAUCUAACUUGAUCAUUUAGAGGAAGUAAAAGUCGUAACAAGGUUUCCGUAGGUGAACCUGCGGAAGGAUCAUUA
rnacentral:ncRNA from 1 species